rnacentral:rRNA from 1 species
CAGCAGCCGCGGGAAUACAGAGGGUGCGAGCGUUAAUCGGAUUUACUGGGCGUAAAGCGUGCGUAGGCGGCUUUUUAAGUCGGAUGUGAAAUCCCUGAGCUUAACUUAGGAAUUGCAUUCGAUACUGGGAAGCUAGAGUAUGGGAGAGGAUGGUAGAAUUCCAGGUGUAGCGGUGAAAUGCGUAGAGAUCUGGAGGAAUACCGAUGGCGAAGGCAGCCAUCUGGCCUAAUACUGACGCUGAGGUACGAAAGCAUGGGGAGCAAACAGGAUUAGAUACCCCAGUAAUCCCUGUCUCUUAUAA